CAUGAGAAAGGGAAGAAUGCUUUCAAAAUUCUUGCAUCUGUAGUGCUAGCUGGUGAGGAGCAACAGAAAUACCUCUUGUUCAGUAACAUUUACUCUUAGAGCUGAGACAUGGGCAAGGUAUGGGGCGGUGGAGGGGGGCAUAGAGAAAUGUGCCCAGCACACUCAUCAGGGAGGCCAAUGGGCUUGUAAAGAACAAGGUCAAUUACCCAGUAAGUUCCCCUCUCAUGAACCUUCAAGUUGCAAACUUUCAAAGAUAGGAAUGUGCACCUUGCUGCAACAAGAAACCAGAACCUGUGCCAUCCACAUGAGUCAUAAGUGACCUUGCAGCUUGCCCUCCAUCUCCUGUUGCUGAUGACCCUUCAGCCCUAUCAUCUCCCACCUCCUCUCCCUCCUCCAUCAGUAACUCUUCUGGUCUGUUCCCUCGAUGCCAGCCACUGUAUGCCAGCUGUUGUACUGCACUGCUGUAUUUCUCAAGGGUAGGCAAGGCACAAGCUAGAAAGCAUAUGGGAAGACGCUGGAAGAAGAUCCAAGGAAUGCAGGAACCGCAGACAUUCUUUAUUCACGGCAGCAAGGCUGACUGCUUUGUUCUCUAAUGGUUGAUGCCGCCGCAACGCGCAGCAAGGGCUUUUCAGGUGGUGCUUGCAUAGGGCUACCUUUUUUUUGGUCAAAGGUACGGGUGUUGGAGAAGACUCUUGAGAGUCCCUUGGACUGCAAGGAGAUCCAACCACUCCAUUCUGAAGGAGAUCAGCCCUGGGAUUUCUUUGGAAGGACUGAUGCUGAAGCUGAAACUCCAAUACUUUGGCCACCUCAUGUGAAGAGUUGACUCAUUGGAAAAGACUCUGAUGCUGGGAGGGAUUGGGGGCAGGAGGAGAAGGGGACAGCAAAGGAUGAGAUGGCUGGAUGGCAUCACUGACUCGAUGGACAUGAGUUUGGGUGAACUCCGGGAGUUGGUGAUGGACAGGGAGGCCUGGCAUGCUGCAAUUCAUGGGGUCGCAAAGAGUUGGACGUGACUGAGCGACUGAACUGAACUGAACUGAACUAUCCUUACCAAAAUUUUAGUACGG
ensembl:lncRNA